AUCUUUUUCAAACGUAUGUGUGCGUCACAAUCAAAAAAAGGGCUCUCCUCUUCAGCAAUUCACGAAUUAAUAGAACAUCUGAAUAAACAAAACAGAUGCAUAAUCUAUUGUAACUUAAGAAAAUAAAACUGUGAUUUCACAAUA